UACGAAGGGGGCUAGCGUUGUUCGGAAUUACUGGGCGUAAAGCGCACGUAGGCGGACUAUUAAGUCAGGGGUGAAAUCCCGGGGCUCAACCCCGGAACUGCCUCUGAUACUGGUAGUCUAGAGUCCGAGAGAGGUGAGUGGAAUUCCGAGUGUAGAGGUGAAAUUCGUAGAUAUUCGGAGGAACACCAGUGGCGAAGGCGGCUCACUGGCUCGGUACUGACGCUGAGGUGCGAAAGCGUGGGGAGCAAAC
rnacentral:rRNA from 1 species